UACGUAGGGUGCAAGCGUUGUCCGGAAUUAUUGGGCGUAAAGAGCUCGUAGGCGGUCUGUCGCGUCGGAUGUGAAAACCCAGGGCUCAACCCUGGGCCUGCAUUCGAUACGGGCAGACUAGAGUUCGGUAGGGGAGACUGGAAUUCCUGGUGUAGCGGUGAAAUGCGCAGAUAUCUGGAGGAACACCGGUGGCGAAGGCGGCAUCCUGGACCGGCAUUGGACGCUGAGGCGCGAAAGCCAGGGGAGCAAAGCGGGG
rnacentral:rRNA from 1 species